UCUCAUUUCUUGCUUAGGUCCUUGGUCUUUCUUCCUGAGGCAAAGCAUACAGAGAUUAGCUUCAAGUGCUCAGUCCCUGAGUCAGACUUCUGACUCACAAGAGUCACACAUUCAUGAAAAUGUGGAGCUCAAAGGAGCCCCGGCCUCUAACAUAUGAAACACGACAGAGGCCUAGAGCCUCUAAUGGCUUGUCCAUGCCCACACAGAAAGCCUGUGGUGGAAUAAGAAGCAGAAAGCGUCUCUUCCCAAACACUAAGGCAAUGUCCUCAUGUAAAGUCACAAUGGAGAUGCAGUCACAAUGUGGCCCCAGGAUUCUGGGCACUGAGUGACGGGAAUCCCAGGUGGCCCAUGAGCUUGCUGGGCAGAGCAGAAGACAGCAUGGUGCUGGCACAGAACUGAUGAGAAAGGAGAAAGUACAAACAUGAAUGCUAAACAGCUCCUCAGCAACCAGGAAGUCGGUUCUCGGGCGGUGGGAAAGAACAAGGCAGGACAGCACAGUACCAAAAUAAAAGGCGCCAAGCAAGGGCCCCUGCACCACUCUUUCUGUGCCAGGAUCUGCACUGUCACACAGCUUCAAGAGGAGCCUCACUCCUUGGAAACAAGAGUGUCUCCUCUAAACUUGUUCCUUCUCAAAUCUCCUGGCAGAAGCCUUCUUAUUUUUUCAUAAUCACUUCAAAGUAGUCGUCAGUCAAGUACUAAAGUAAAUUCAAAGCAAUUAGAGAAUCUAUCUACAGCAAGCCCAAAAUGUGUUUGCAAUGGUCCUCCAGGAAGUGGUUUGGAACACUUUUCUCUAGAAUAGUACUUUUUGUGUACAAAAAAGAAGCUGCCCUUUUUUAGUGAAUAAACACAGACACACACACACACACGCACGCGCAUGUGUGUAGCAUACACACACAUCUACUAUGAUAAAUGGAAGCAACAUCUCAAGAAUGAAAUAUUGUAUUGUGGGUUCCAAGCCAAAACAAGUCAGCACCACUCCAGGAAGCACUUAUAAAUUGUUACAAAAAAAUACCAAGAAAUAGGAGCCUGCCCUAUAACAUAACAGCUGCAAGAUUUCAGGGCUCGGGACUAGCUUUUAAAAAGCAAGAAAAAAAUUAAAACUAUCAAACCCAGUGCUUCAAAUAUUCUGCUCAAUCUCCAGGGUGGUCUUGUGUUUCUAAUUAAUAUUCCCUCCUAAUUACCAUCCUGAUAGUAAGUGUGCUAAAUGCAAAACUUACGCCUCACUACAGAGCUCUGGCAGGGAGAGGAGGAAGGCAGCCUAGGAAGAAGGGUGGCCAGCUUCAUUGUGAUGCAAAAGAAUGCAACAAUUAAGAAUAUAAUUUUGGAAGAUGUCAGCAGCCUAAUUACUCAUAGGGCUUCCAGCAAAUUAAGCAGUAGGUGAAUUAGCUCAUUUAAUGAGAUCUAGAGUUCUGAGUCAAGUUGCUUUUACUUUGCAUUUGAGGAAUGCAUUUCCCCAUUACAUGUUAAUAAUUUGGGCACCCCAACAUGCUAUUAGCUCAACAGGUUCUGCAGAGCAUGAGAUACGAGUUGGGCUUUGGGAAGACAAAGACAUUUGCACAAAGGCUCAAAUGUGCCAUGACCUGGGAGCUGUCAGCACGCUCAGAAAGGGUGUGAAGAACAUCAGGCCAUUCCUCAGACUCUACCAGGGCCUUUCCCAUCUAUCACUGUGUUUCAUCCUAAUAAGCCUUUGAGGUAGAAGACCAUGAGCUCUAAGCUGCUUCACCUUCUCUUUUAACACAAAAUGAGGUUCACAGAGGCAAGACACCACAAUCCUGAAUAUACUAUCAAUUCUGAAUGGUCUGUCCAUUUGUGACAGAACAGGCAGCUUCCUCCUUCUUGACUUGUGAAUGUGGUGUCCUCCAAGGCCACUGCCUGAGGUGAACCCCAAAGAUGUAUCCCAACCAUGGCUCUCCACAGAAAGUUUCCCACCUACCAGCAGCUUUACCCACCAUGGUUAUUAUUUAAGGUGCAAUACACUGUCAUCUAUCGAA